GUGCCCUUUUAAGGUUGACAUAGAAGAGUAAAGGCACUCUCCAUAAAACCCAGAGAAGAGACUGUACAUUUCCUCUUUGGCUCCUGUCUGGAGUCACAACU
ensembl:snoRNA